GCUUUUUCUUUCACCGGAGCUUGCUCCACCGAAAGAAAAAGAGUGGCGAACGGGUGAGUAACACGUGGGUAACCUGCCCAUCAGAAGGGGAUAACACUUGGAAACAGGUGCUAAUACCGUAUAACACUAUUUUCCGCAUGGAAGAAAGUUGAAAGGCGCUUUUGCGUCACUGAUGGAUGGACCCGCGGUGCAUUAGCUAGUUGGUGAGGUAACGGCUCACCAAGGCAACGAUGCAUAGCCGACCUGAGAGGGUGAUCGGCCACACUGGGACUGAGACACGGCCCAGACUCCUACGGGAGGCAGCAGUAGGGAAUYUUCGGCAAUGGACGAAAGUCUGACCGAGCAACGCCGCGUGAGUGAAGAAGGUUUUCGGAUCGUAAAACUCUGUUGUUAGAGAAGAACAAGGAUGAGAGUARAACGUUCAUCCCUUGACGGUAUCUAACCAGAAAGCCACGGCUAACUACGUGCCAGCAGCCGCGGUAAUACGUAGGUGGCAAGCGUUGUCCGGAUUUAUUGGGCGUAAAGCGAGCGCAGGCGGUUUCUUAAGUCUGAUGUGAAAGCCCCCGGCUCAACCGGGGAGGGUCAUUGGAAACUGGGAGACUUGAGUGCAGAAGAGGAGAGUGGAAUUCCAUGUGUAGCGGUGAAAUGCGUAGAUAUAUGGAGGAACACCAGUGGCGAAGG
rnacentral:rRNA from 1 species